rnacentral:rRNA from 1 species
GGACGAACGCUGGCGGCGUGCCUAAUACAUGCAAGUCGAGCGGACAGAUGGGAGCUUGCUCCCUGAUGUUAGCGGCGGACGGGUGAGUAACACGUGGGUAACCUGCCUGUAAGACUGGGAUAACUCGGGAAACCGGGCUAAUACCGGAUGCUUGUUUGAACCGCAUGGUUCAAACAUAAAAAGGUGGCUUCGGGCUACCGACUUUACAGGAUGGACCCGCGGCGCAUUAGCUAGUUGGUGAGGUAAUGGCUCACCAAGGCGACGAUGCGUAGCCGACCUGAGAGGUGAUCGGCCACGACUGGGGACUGAGACACGGGCCCAGGACUCCUACGGGAGGCAGCAGUAGGGAAUCUUCCGCAAUGGACGAAAGUCCUGACGGAGCAACGCCGCGUGAGUGAUGAAGGUUUUCGGAUCGUAAAGCUC